AUGGGGAACGCUCUGGCCGGCAGGCGGCGCGCGGCGAAGGUGAUGACGGUGGACGGCGCCACGUUCCGGUACAAGACGCCCGCGGCGGCCGGCGCGGCGCUGCGCGGCCACCCGGGCCACCAGCUGCUGGAGUCGGAGGAGGUGCGGCGGCUCGGCGUCCGCGCCCGCCCGCUCGACCGCGACGCCGCGCUCAAGCCGGGCAAGCUCUACUUCCUCGUGCAUCUCCCGCCCGGCGGAGCCGGCGGGCGCGGCGGCGACGAGGGCCUGCGCGCGCCGCACAAGACGUGGUCCGGCGCGCUGCACGUGGGCGCCCGGGAGCGGCUGGAGAGCCUGAUGCUGUCGCGCCGCACCGUGUCGGACGUGGCGUCCCUGAUGCCCUCCGCCGGCGGGGAGUCGUCGUCCGUGGAGGCCGGCGCGGACGGCGCGGUGCGGCUGCGGAUGCGGCUGCCCAAGGCGGAGGUGGCGCGGCUGAUGAAGGAGAGCAGGGACCCCGCGGAGGCCGCCGAGCGGAUCAUGCAGCUCUGCGUCGCCAGGGACCAGGGGGGCGCCGCUGCCGCGCCGGCCAAGCCCGCCCCGCUGCCGGCCUCCGCGCUGUGCACCAACAAGACCGCCAUGAAGAAAGAGAAACGGACGAGGUUCAUGGCGGUGCCGGACGAGAUCAUCGGAUGA
rnacentral:rRNA from 1 species